rnacentral:rRNA from 1 species
AAGCGCUUGUGACCAGACUUGGGCUUGGUUGAUCAUCCGGGGUUCUCCCCGGUGCACUCUUCCGGCCCAGGCCAGCAUCAGUUCGCCCUGGGGGACAAAGGCUUCGGGAACGUGGCUCUCUCCGGGGAGUGUUAUAGCCCGUUGCGUAAUACCC